rnacentral:rRNA from 1 species
CCUACGGGUGGCACCAGUAAGGAAUAUUGGUCAAUGGACGCAAGUCUGAACCAGCCAUGCCGCGUGAAGGAUGAAGGUCCUCUGGAUUGUAAACUUCUUUUAUAGGGGGCGAAAAAAGGGUUUUUUAACUCACUUGACGGUACCUUAUGAAUAAGCACCGGCUAACUCCGUGCCAGCAGCCGCGGUAAUACGGAGGGUGCAAGCGUUAUCCGGAUUUACUGGGUUUAAAGGGUGCGCAGGCGGGCGAUUAAGUCAGUGGUGAAAUCUUCGAGCUUAACUCGGAAACUGCCGUUGAUACUAAUUGUCUUGAAUACUCGGGAGGUGAGCGGAAUAUGUCAUGUAGCGGUGAAAUGCUUAGAUAUGACAUAGAACACCGAUUGCGAAGGCAGCUCACUACAGAGAUAUUGACGCUGAGGCACGAAAGCGUGGGGAUCAAACAGGAUUAGAUACCCUAGUAGUC